UACAGGGGGUGCAAACGUUGCUCGGAAUCAUUGAGCGUAAAGCGCACGUAGGCGGUUUGUUAUGUCGGAUGUGAAAGCCCUUGGCUCAACUGAGGAAGUGCAUCCGAAACUGGCAAGCUAGAGUACUAAAGAGGGUCGCGGAAUUCCCGGUGUAGAGGUGAAAUUCGUAGAUAUCGGGAGGAACACCGGUGGCGAAGGCGGCCUUCUGGACGGUAACUGACGCUGAGACGCGAAAGCGUGGGGAGCAAACAGG
rnacentral:rRNA from 1 species